GUUGAACUAUAGCUCGAGAUUUUAAACAAUCGAGGAAGAAGAACAACCGUUGGCGGGAGAAACAAACUGAAAUCAGCGAAGCAAACUUUAUUUCGACGUCUUUAUGAUAAAACAGCACAAAAUGACGGAACAGUCGGCAGAAAUCCUUAUUUUGAAGAUGAGUUUAGGUGUGUUUAUAACAGCCUUACAAAUAUCACCUCUAAUUACAACACUAUCUGAAGUGCUAACAGCGCCACCCGCUGUCUCACAGGCUAACAGCUAAGCUAAUCCGAACCGUCCGGCUCCUGAAGGACCGAAACCGAUCCAGGAGGACCUGAACAAUCACAGCUGUGUCCGGUCUGCUCACUGUGCUGCUGUUUAGAGCCACGAAAAUGGAUUAACGUCUGAUUUAAGGUAAGAAAUGAGAUAAAGUGUAGCUGAUGUACCGGCGUUAGUUUUACUGGACUGUCAUACCAUAGCACAGUAGGGAAGAGUGAUGAUCCAUGUUUCAUAUUUCGGAUCACAUCAUCAAGUCAAUCCUAGUUUUGUCUCUAACUCGUGUCUCUGCAGAUAUUUCAGGAUGUUGUUAAUCCCUGCAAACCAACAGAAUGAGUGUAAACAGAACUGUCAUCUUCAGAAUAUAGCAGGACAAAUAAAGGGGUCUCCUGUGGUCAACUUACCCCGUGUAUGGGGGGGUAAGUUGACCAUAGGAGCGGGGUAAAUUGAGCCGUAUCCCUCCAGCUAAAAAAGCUGUUUUAUACAAAAAAAAACAUUUGAAGAUGAGAAUGUCUCUAAGUGAUUGAGAACAUUCACAGAUCUAUAUUUUAGAAAAGAAAAAGUCAAACAUUUCAACAAUCUGAAGGUAAACUCUGAUCAUCAGACUCCUUCACUUUCUCUGUUCCCCCUGAACUACUAUGAUGACUUUAUUAGUCCUCCAGGAUAAAAUGGUGGACUUUUAGAUUUUUUACCUCAUGUUGGAGCUCAUAGUUACCACAGUUGAUGUAGAAAACUCAUUUAAAAUGAUCUUUUUUUGUUUGUUUCACUUCGAAAAUGUUCGGCCAUUUGAAAAUUUCCCCGACUUAUCCUGUAGAUGGCGCUACAGCGACUUCAUGCCAUUCUUCAUCCCCUAACUACCUCACAGCACAGCAGAGUGACGGAUCUGAAGCAGCAGCUCAGGGACACGGAGGAGAGUGGUCCGCCUCAACGGGAAAUAAACCAGUUUGUGAAAAACACAAUAAGUCAACAAGUUUCAG
rnacentral:lncRNA from 1 species